GAUGAACGCUAGCGACAGGCUUAACACAUGCAAGUCGAGGGGCAGCAUAGAAGUAGCAAUACUUUGGUGGCGACCGGCGCACGGGUGAGUAACGCGUAUGCAACCUACCUAUCAGAGGGGAAUAACCCGGCGAAAGUCGGACUAAUACCGCAUAAAACAGGGGCACCGCAUGGUGAUAUUUGUUAAAGAAAUUCGCUGAUAGAUGGGCAUGCGUUCCAUUAGGUAGUUGGUGAGGUAACGGCUCACCAAGCCGACGAUGGAUAGGGGAACUGAGAGGUUGGUCCCCCACACUGGUACUGAGACACGGACCAGACUCCUACGGGAGGCAGCAGUGAGGAAUAUUGGUCAAUGGGCGGGAGCCUGAACCAGCCAAGUCGCGUGAAGGAAGAAGGAUCUAUGGUUCGUAAACUUCUUUUGCAGGGGAAUAAAGUGCAGGACGUGUCCUGUUUUGUAUGUACCCUGAGAAUAAGGAUCGACUAACUCCGUGCCAGCCGCCGCCGUAACAC
rnacentral:rRNA from 1 species